rnacentral:tRNA from 1 species
GGUACCGUAGCUCAGUUGGUUAGAGCAUUGGUCUUAUGGCCCAAGGUGAGAUUAAGCCGAAGGUCGCGGGUUCAAGACCCGCCGAGACCA